GUCGGGCCGCCUAAGGCAGGGGCAGUGGAGGUCGUGCUCCCAUCCUCAAAUGAACGAGCCCCUGCAGCCCGGACAGCGAGAUGCGUCCCAGGGAGACGGCUGAUUGGGGAAAGGUGGUGGGCGACUAGUCCGCGUUAGACGAAAUCGACUUUCAACCACGGGGUAACAAGGCAAAGAGGGAAAGAAAACGAAACGCCAAAGAAGCCGCCGCUACCUCCCCGCCCCCACCCCGGGGCGGCCGGGAUGGGAGCCCAGAGUCGCGUUCCGGACCCGCUGCUUUUUCUGUCGGGAAACACUGAGCCAGGAAGAAGAUGGUCGGUCCCAUCUCCAAAUCCCGGGCCCAAGGUGGUGGCGAAGAAACCCACGGCCUCGACUCGUCAUCGCGGCCCCGUCACCCCCAAGCCCGGGUCAAGGCCCGUGUCCCAGACCUGAGCUGAGGCGUCCUCUCCCGACAGCGCCACCGCGUGGGCUGCGGCCCGAACCUGCGGCGGCGGUUCAGUCCGCUGCGUCCCGGAGCCGGCCUUACACGUCGCCCCAAGUCCUCGGGUUCAGAACGCGGCGGGGCAGGGGCAGGUCCCCGGCCCCGGGCACAACCGGACCACCCAACACAAAAACGCGGCCGGCAGACAGAACACCGGCGCCCUCAGUUUGCCCCAACUCCUUGUAAUGAAAAGUACACCUGGAAAGCCCAGGCCGCGGCGCCCCACCCGAACCCCAAACUCCAGGCAGGCCGGCCCGCGUCGUGAAAUCCGCGCCCACCCCUAGCUGGGGCGAGCGAGCCCAGGAAGCCGAAUCCGAGGCAGCCCAAGGCCAAGCGGCUCCAGGAGCGUUUCGCGGCUCUGGGCCCACGCCGGUCUCGAACCGCGCCAGAGAGAGCGAGAGCGCUUGCUGCGAGACCCAAGGUCCCAGGCACUUACUGGGACCGAGGACCAAGCGGGUGUCGGUCUAUCCGGCGGCCCAAAGCCGUCCGGAGUGGCGUGGAACCUGGAGGGCUUUCUGGGCUGGCAACUCGCCAGUUCUCGCGGUCUCACGAACCCCAAAGCCCACUCUCUCAGUCCGGCAAGGCUUGACCCUCGGGCUAAGGCCCAGGCAGCGUUAGUGUCCUGGGGCUCUGUUCACAGUGCCCUGGGGCUCGGUUCUUCCCCACCCCGCGAUGCCUUGCCUCCGAGCCCAGAGGCUAAGCCCCGCCGAACCGGGCAUCACCUGGCGCUGCCCGGACGCUACGUCAGGACUCCAGAGCCACCACGUCGGGCUUAGAGGACUUUAGUGGGUAGGCUGGGGCUUAUCUUAAAUUCAAUUGUUCCCCGUGCGCGCUAGUGCGCACACACACGCACAGACGUUUUGAGACUGUCAGUUAUGGAAAGGGACAACGACGCAAAGGUGGAAAUUCACCUGGUCCCCACCCUGUUACAAAGCUCCCAGCCCCACACAAAAGAGGAGCGAGCCCUGGACGCCCAAGCGGCCGCUCGGGAGGCGUCCAGAAGCUGCACUCUCGCGGGGCGCCCGGCCAGCCGCGCCAGUUCGCGCGCUCCAGCCCCGGCCGGUGCCCAGCGGCGCCCUAGGGAAGCUGCGCCGGCCUGCUGAGUUCCGGGGCUGGGUGUCCGCCUGGCCUGCUCAUCCACGCCUCAUCACCUGUCUCUGAAUUCUAAUUUCUGAAAUCUAAUCCCCGUAGGCCACGCGGAGCUGUCUCCAAGCGGGCCCGGCCCGGCACCCCUGCCAAGUGGCUCACCUCUGCUUACGGCGCCUGCCUUUACCCCCGGUGCCAAGGACCGAGCGAGUGGCGGCAGGUCAGGGCGCAAACGCCGUCUGCUCUCCUCCAGGAGUAGACAGCGGGAGCCUGCGGCGUCGCUCGUCCGGCCCUGGGGCUGAUUUAAAUAACUAAUAAGCUCAGAGACAUUUUACAAGGGGAACUUUUCCUUUUAGUAUCAAUAAAGCCUAGUAAUUGGGUUUGUUGGUUACCUAAGCUCGAGUUUCCCAGUCUCUCUCUCUCUCUCUCUCCUUCUUACUCUCUCUUUCCCUCUCUCUCUCUCUCUCUGUCUCUCUUAUUCAGAAGCAACGUUUUAAAAAACCGGCAACUGUGGGUGCGUUUGUGUCGGGUGUGCGAGUGUGUGAAAGAAGUUGUUUCAAAAGUCCUUUUCCUGGAGAACAAUCAUCAUUGUCGUUCUAUGGUGAAGAGUUUUGAAAGGUGAACUGUUGUUAUUUCAGAGGAGGAAAAUGUUAACAACAAUUCAAGUCUCACAAUACACGUAUAAUAUAAGAAGGGCAGGGGUCCUUAAGAUUUUUCCCUUUGAAUGUGACAAAGACUUUUGCAGUGCUUCCGUAAUAGUUUGCAUUUUAAUUAAGUCUCUCUACAUUUUAACUUCAACUCCUAGAUUGUAAUGAUAUCUGUUGUUUUCAGUAAAGACUUCUAUACUAUAA